GCGUGAGAGUGGGAGGCCCAUGCUCAAGGAAUUACAGAGCUUACUCUCCUCUUGUGUAGGAGAAUGCUGUAAGGGAAACUAAAAUUUUCUUUCUAAUGGUUCUCUUUCAGUUGAGCACCCCAAAGCUGAAUAUUGCUAGGAGCAUGAAGCUUGGGCUGGAAGAGUUUAGGCCUUAGGAGAGGGAAAUAAAGUAACUGUCCUGCUUUCUGAUAGCCGCCGGUUGUGCUUGAGCUUAUCAACACCAUUUCUUCCAAGCCAAACAGAAGCUGCUAAAACAGUGCUUGACAAAGGAAAAUAUUUAACUGUGUAGACAAGAGAGGUGGUGACUGACAUACUGGACUCUGCAAGCUCCAGAACAAAAGCAGGUAACUUAUUUCUCUGAACAGAAAGCUAUAGAUUUCCUCAUAGCUAACUGAAAAAAUUGGCAAAUGGCUGCAUCUUCUGAACAUAUCUGAAGGGUGAAGUAACUUUAAGGUUCCCUUGCUUUUGUUGUAUAAACAGUUUUAGUAUUGAUAUUAGCAGUUUGAACUUGAGCAAUGUCAUUGUCAUAUGAUGUGUGAUUCACUCGUAGACAAUCAAGAGAGAAGUUACCCAGUUCAUACUUUUGGCCAUGUUAACCCAGAGACAGUAUUUCCAUUUAGCAGGCAGCCAAAGGAAAACAGAGACCAAAAGAGCUGGAAUUCAGUGAAGCUGGAUAUUAGCUUUAACCUGGGCUGGGAGAAAAGUGAAAGAACAACAAAGGAACUGUUUGGUGAAGAAAAUCAUACACACUCCCAGUUGCACUGUUAGCAAAUUUUCAGACAGCCUUCGGUAUUCUAUGUGACUGGUAUGGCAUUUGCAUUAGUGUGGGCAGGAUGGUUCUUCAGUGGACCACAUUCCUGAGAUCAACUGAUAGGGCUGUGUGCAUCAUUCACCUUCACCCACACAGAGGAUCUGCAAGAGGUUAUCCUUGCCUUCUGGAAGGAAUGCCCAUGGGCAACAUAUUGCGGAGAGGAGUCUCUUUUCUCACGACAAUCAGACUUCCAGCACGCCAGUAUUAAUCAAUGAUUAGCAUCACUCCCUGCUCUGGAGACAGUUUUUCUUUUCACCACAGCACAACCACCACCUCCCUCCAUGUCUAUAGGAGAAACACAACCAAUAGGAUUCUGUGUAAAUCACUCUGGGAGUAACAAAAAUGAGGAUCUUUACUCAGCUAAGUUUUCCUGUUUUGUUGUAAGGCUUUUGACAUGCAACAGGAAGAGAAAACUGUCCCUAGGAAGAUAUGACUGCAAGGUACCUAUGCUGCUGGACAGUUUGGGAACUGGUGGAAGACCAUAGAUGCUACUUUUGACCAUUUUUAGACUGACAUCAUUUGAGGCCGACAUGUCCUUUUUGGCUUAUUAAUGUGAUCUGUGUCCUGCCCUAAAUUAAAGGGAAAAUGAACAAAAAAAAGGCUGCUUGGCAGUAGCUGCCAAUGUGUACAGUGAUGUGCAAAUACAAUUUCUGUGAAGUUCUUGUCUCUGGGAUUAGUUUGCAGGGGAAAA